CCAGCAGCCGCGGUAAUUCCAGCUCCAAUAGCAUAUAUUAACGUUGUUGCAGUUGAAAAGCUCGUAGUUGAACUUUUGGUAUGGGCGACCUGGCCUUGGGCGCAUGCCCUUGUUUGCUGUGUGUCGUACCUGGCCAUCCUUCGCAUUUCUUUUAUGGGGUGUGAUCAUUUACUGUGAGUAAACUGGAGUGCUCAAAACAAGACGUUUGUUUGGUACAUCCAAGCAUGGAAUAAUAAGAUAGGACCUGGUUACUAUUUUGUUGGUUUGCAUAGCUAGGUAAUGAUUAACAGGGACAGUUGGGGGUAUUCGUAUUUAAUUGUCAGAGGUGAAAUUCUUGGAUUUAUGAAAGACGAACGACUGCGAAAGCAUUUACCAAGGAUGUUUUCAU
rnacentral:rRNA from 1 species